rnacentral:sRNA from 1 species
GUUGUUGGUCUCUGGUUUCUCCGCGGCACAGGUGUAGCCGCAGAGGCUAGGCCGGACAACUCGGUAGACGCCUUUGUAUGUUAGAAGGAAGACAUCCUUGUUGUUGUCCUCGCCGAAGGAGAAAAUGUAGCCCAACGAUGGUUGGUUGCUGCCUGAUGCAGAUUCGCAGGGUAUUGGAGAGUUCUUGGAGCAGCUGAACGGAAUCAGAGUUGAGGUGUAGUUUCCGCUGCUCUCUGGGGUCUCUGUGCCGGUCCACAUUGCUGACGCCAGAAUGGCUGUAGCCCAUAACAGGGAAGAUGGCAUUUAUAGAAUUAAGCGAUGUAUUCCCUCCAGGAGUCCAUUCUGGAUGAUAAAUGUAUGGGCCCUCAUAUGCACGCCAUCCAUAGUUUCCACCCUUCGAGAUCAAAUCUACCUCUUCAUAUAAAUCCUAUGGAUGUAUGUCAAGGUAAAAAUGCCAAUAAAAGCAAAUGGUCAG